rfam:Stegodyphus mimosarum contig103624, whole genome shotgun sequence.
UGUGCAUUUCCGAUAAUUAAAUUAUAGUUCAGCUGAAAAUUGUGCUGACAUGUUUUCUAAUUUGUCUUUCGCUUCUAACUGAGGUGUAUG